GAUGAACGCUGGCGGCGUGCUUAAUACAUGCAAGUCGAACGAAGCACCUUGGACAGAAUCCUUCGGGAGGAAGACCAUUGUGACUGAGUGGCGGACGGGUGAGUAACGCGUGGGUAACCUGCCUUGUACAGGGGGAUAACAGUUGGAAACGACUGCUAAUACCGCAUAAGCGCACAGUACCGCAUGGUACGGUGUGAAAAACUCCGGUGGUAUAAGAUGGACCCGCGUCUGAUUAGCUGGUUGGUGAGGUAACGGCCCACCAAGGCGACGAUCAGUAGCCGACCUGAGAGGGUGACCGGCCACAUUGGGACUGAGACACGGCCCAAACUCCUACGGGAGGCAGCAGUGGGGAAUAUUGCACAAUGGGGGAAACCCUGACGCAGCAACGCCGCGUGAAGGAUGAAGGUUUUCGGAUUGUAAACUUCUUUUAUUUAGGACGAAGAAUGACGGUACUAAAUGAAUAAGCUCCGGCUAACUACGUG
rnacentral:rRNA from 1 species